AAACUGGAAAUUUCAAGUACUUUCUCGUUGCUUCGAUUAUUUUCUUGUUACUUAAAAUUUCUUUCGAAAAUUCGAAAUUUCAAAUAUUAUCUCCUUA